rnacentral:rRNA from 1 species
UACGAAGGGGCUAGCGUUGUUCGGAAUUACUGGGCGUAAAGCGCGCGCAGGCGGCUAUCCAAGUCAGUGGUGAAAGCCCGGAGCUCAACUCCGGAACUGCCAUUGAAACUGUUUAGCUUGAGGAUGAGAGAGGUGAGUGGAAUUCCCAGUGUAGAGGUGAAAAUUCGUAGAUAUUGGGAAGAACACCGGUGGCGAAGGCGGCUCACUGGCCCGGUACUGACGCUGAGGUGCGAAAGCGUGGGGAGCAAACAGGG